rnacentral:rRNA from 1 species
UGGGGAAUAUUGCACAAUGGGCGAAAGCCUGAUGCAGCGACGCCGCGUGAGGGAUGACGGCCUUCGGGUUGUAAACCUCUUUCAGCAGGGACGAAGCGCAAGUGACGGUACCUGCAGAAGAAGCACCGGCUAACUACGUGCCAGCAGCCGCGGUAAUACGUAGGGUGCAAGCGUUGUCCGGAAUUACUGGGCGUAAAGAGUUCGUAGGCGGUUUGUCGCGUCGUUUGUGAAAACCAGCAGCUCAACUGCUGGCUUGCAGGCGAUACGGGAAGACUUGAGUACUGCAGGGGAGACUGGAAUUCCUGGUGUAGCGGUGAAAUGCGCAGAUAUCAGGAGGAACACCGGUGGCGAAGGCGGGUCUCUGGGCAGUAACUGACGCUGAGGAUCGAAAGCGUGGGUAGCGAACAGG